GAUGAACGCUAGCUACAGGCUUAACACAUGCAAGUCGAGGGGCAGCGCAGUGUAGCAAUACAUGGGCGGCGACCGGCGCACGGGUGCGUAACGCGUAUCCAACCUUCCCGUUACUCAGGGAUAGCCUUCCGAAAGGGAGAUUAAUACCUGAUGGUGCUCAAAUUCCGCAUGUUAUUUGAACUAAAGAUUCAUCGGUAACGGAUGGGGAUGCGUGACAUUAGAUAGUAGGCGGGGUAACGGCCCACCUAGUCUACGAUGUCUAGGGGUUCUGAGAGGAAGGUCCCCCCGACUGGAACUGAGAAACGGUCCAGACUCCUACGGGAGGAAGCAGUGAGGAAUAUUGGUCAAUGGUCGGAAGACUGAACCAGCCAAGUAGCGUGAAUGAUGAAGGUUCUAUGGAUUGUAAACUACUUUUAUACGGGAAUAAAACCUCCCACGUGUGGGAGCUUGUAUGUACCGUAUGAAUAAGCAUCGGCUAACUCCGUGCCAGCCGCCGCCGUAAGAC
rnacentral:rRNA from 1 species